UGGGGAAUAUUGGACAAUGGGCGAAAGCCUGAUCCAGCCAUGCCGCGUGUGUGAAGAAGGUCUUCGGAUUGUAAAGCUCUUUAAGGUGGGAGGAAGGGCAGUAAGCGAAUACCUUGCUGUCUUGACGUUACCGACAGAAUAAGCACCGGCUAACUCUGUGCCAGCAGCCGCGGUAAUACAGAGGGUGCAAGCGUUAAUCGGAAUUACUGGGCGUAAAGCGCGCGUAGGUGGUUCGUUAAGUUGAAUGUGAAAGCCCCGGGCUCAACCUGGGAACUGCCUCGAAAACUGGCGGGCUAGAGUAGGGCAGAGGGUGGUGGAAUUUCCUGUGUAGCGGUGAAAUGCGUAGAUAUAGGAAGGAACACAAGUGGCGAAAGCGACCACCUGGGCUCAUACUGACACUGAGGUACGAAAGCGUGGGGAGCAAACAGG
rnacentral:rRNA from 1 species